AUGUUGGAAGGCAAGGCAAUGAUUCAGGAGACAGACAUGCCUGUGAAGAUGCAGCUCCAAGCCAUGUCCUGUGCCUCAGAAGCCCUUGACCUCUUUGAUGUCCUCGACUGCAAGAGCAUGGCUGCCUACAUCAAAAAGGAGUUUGAUCUUAGGUAUGGCCCUGGAUGGCAGUGUGUGGUGGGUUCCAACUUUGGGUGCUUCUUCACUCACAAAAAGGGCACCUUCAUCUACUUCUGCUUGGAGACACUCUAUUUCCUCAUCUUCAAAGGUGCUGCUGCUUGAGCUAUCUAACCAUGUACAUCACUACUUUGGAAUCCAGAGGAGCUUUUGGAAGCCUUGAAUCCUAUUCCAUACUGGAGUUAGGGGAUCAAACCUGAAUAACAAUGGAACACGGAGGUGGCAUAUCAAACUCAAAGCUUCCUUCGUGAAAACUGAAAUGUACCUAUCACAGGGUAAAGCGAUCAUGUCGUUAGAUCGAUCACCAGAGUCUCACCACAUCAACAAGCUAUCAAAACAGGGGAUGUUCCAGUCCUCCAUGGCUAGAACUGGUGGAGAGAAGCUAAUAAGAUGUGUGCAUGCAAACUGCAGGAAUUUUAAGAUCAGACAUCCACCAACCAUGCAGUGUUAAUUGUGAGUCUAUAACUUGGCAUCACAUGCAACUCAUGUAUUCGGCAUUCAAUGUGGUCUUUGCUAUUUGUCUCUAUCACAGAUUAACAGAUACAAUGAGGCUUAUCUAAGAAAUGCAAAGCUCCAAAUGUUGGAAAGCUCUUUGCUUA